GGGUUCGUUAAUGGUUUCAGGCCCUGCCGGAAUCGACCAGAAGCAACUUGUUGGUUGUUUCCCGUGGCGAGCUUCUCCAACAGGGAAACUUAAAAGUGACUAAAAGGAAGUUUUAGGGAAGUGAUGUGACGUCUGAGUCAUAAAGAGUUGUUUGUGUGGUGGAGAGAGAAGCGGUGGAUUAUUAUUCUGGAUCAUUGACUGAGUGAACAAAGCUCACUUUGUCUCGUUUCAUUCAAGUCUUCAGUUGAGUCAAACGAAGCAGACGAGGACGUUUAUUAUUUAUCGCGUUUUUUUGGUUCAGGGGGUAAAAACCAAACCAGCAAACAACCAGCAAAUAGAAACAAUGUUUGUGUUGCUUGCAAAGCUGCAGCCACAGACUUUCAUGAAUGUCGGUUUUAUGUCUGUAUUUUGAAGAAAGGGUUUAAUUAUCUGAAAUGCAAAACAAAAAAGCACAAAAACUGAAUUAUGUUAACAUGAACAAUGCAAUACACCUGUUUAAUAUGUCCUGUUUAAUUGUUGACAAAAAGGAUAUUUCCAAGCUGCUAUCAGUGAAGUUCACAACUGACUUUUAGCAUUUUGGGACCAUUUGUUUAAAGUCAAACAUAGUUGUCCCCUUUUAUAUAUUUGUCUUCGAUUCAUUCAUCAUAUCGGCAUAAUGUGCUAAUGUUUCACUCCUAAUGGUACAAAUGUUGUGAUGUUCCAGACCUGCAUUGUUCCUGCGAAUGUAUUAUUAUUAUAAUAACUCUUGCUCACUCGCUGUAUGUGGGUUAGUAAUGCUUCAUGUAUGACGUGGGGUUGGAACUGUGUGUGCGUGUGUGACAGAGAGAGAGAGAGAUGCAUGCUGGGUCGCCAGUGGAGCUUUGGGCCAGUUUGUUGUUGUGUUUUGAUUGAUCUUCAAAUCUCUGCAAGCUGUUGGGACCUCUGCAUCCUCUCCCUCUGCUUGCUGACUUUCAUUGUGAAUGAGCCCACUGCUCACAGCAUGUGGCCUUCACACGUGUGUGUGUCCUGCGUGUGAAGGAUGUGCACCACGUGUGUGUGUGUUUUGGCAUGUUUGAGUGAGGAGUGACAUUAAACCUCGUCUGAACAGGACUGUGUGUGUGUGUGUGUGUGUGUGUGUAGAUAGAUGGUGUUUGGUCUCAAUGUGUCGGUGGUUACGACCGGAAGCUGCAGCUGAACACGAAUCCUCACUUCUCAUCGAUGUCAGUGAUCAUCAGCCGGUUUCCACACUACGUUUGAACGUGUGUGUAAAGCAGGUGAUCACACACUCCUCCGGUGAUACUUAACAAAUAGUUUAUCUUCAUAUUGUCUGGUCAAUUAUCACUCACCAAUACGUAGAGUCCUUUCAAAAUAAAACGCUGUCUUCAAAGGAGAAUGUGACCAAACCACUUAAAUAAAUGUAACUAGUGUUUGAUUUAAAAGUUAACUUUGGAACUGGGCGCGACUGAAGUACGCCACUGCUAGAGGUGGUGUAGAAGCUAGUGGUAGGUAGGAGGUGGUAUAGAAGGUAGUGGUAGGUAGGAGGUGGUGUAGAAGCUAGUGGUAGGUAGGAGGUGGUAUAGAAGCUAGUGGUAGGAGGUGGUGUAGAAGCUCGUGGUAGGUAGGAGGUGGUGUAGCAGCUAGUGGUAGGUAGGAGGUGGCGUAGAAGCUCGUGGUAGGUAGGAGGUGGUGUAGAAGCUCGUGGUAGGUAGGAGGUGGUGUAGCAGCUAGUGGUAGGUAGGAGGUGGUGUAGAAGCUAGUGGUAGGUAGCAGGUGGUGUAGAAGCUAGUGGUAGGUAGGAGGUGGUGUAGAAGCUAGUGGUAGGUAGCAGGUGGUGUAGAAGCUAUUGGUUAAAUUAGGCCGAGCUUUAGGAAGUGUGUAUGAAUCCUCACGUGGUGGAAGUCCAGCGAUCAAUAGAGAGGCGUAAGAUAAGAGCUUCAGGCGCUUCAGAGAACCAAACCACCUCAAAGUCUACGAGGCCUCGUGUCUAAUCGAGGGUCCCGCUCAGCUUCCCGACCGACUUACAUUAUAGUGCUGGAAUGUUUUCACUUGGAAGUGACCACGAAACGCAGCAGUGAGGAUUGGUCCGUUUUGGAGGACGAAUAGUAUCUUAAGUGGGUGCAGAUUGUAUCAGCGGGCAACGGCCUCAGGAUCUGAGUGCCUCAGACCUCCAGGGGGAAUGGAACAGAUGAUCUAAGUCCUGCCUGUUUUUAUCGGGUCGGUCACACCUCUUCAGCUCCUCUGUUGGGAACCAGUUACUGUUCAACUGUGAUCUUCUCCCCUGCAAGUAGCGGCUCCCUCUGCGAGCGUGACCGGAUCAAAGGGGCCGUGAUCCAAUAGACUGAAGAACCUGAGUCUCUGCCUUGCUUUAGUUUGUGCAGCUGUCCGUGGUGCUCGUCUUCGUACGGCAUCUCCGUUUGUGUUGAGGCCUUCGUUUGAACUCGUUCUAGAGGAUCAGCCUUUUACUGUCAGCAUUAAACCUUUAACGCGCCAUCAUGCGCUUCACAUCCGGCCUGGUCAUAAUUUGGUAGUAUUGCAAGAAAUGUAUUUUCAGUUUGCUUUGCUCUGGUCCACUGCUUUCCUCUCCUGCAGUUUGAAUGUUAAAAAUCAUCAUUCCUCUCCACAGUAGGUGUACUGUACUGUACUUCAGGAGCGUGAAGGAAGUCUGCUGAAGGAAAUGAGAGUGGGAGCAGAUGAAUGACGGUCGAAUGUCUUGUUUCCAUGCGAUAAACUCCAUCUCGCUAUCUGGAGGACCAGAGAUCACUGACCACAUCUUUUAGUCCGCUAUUCUCCUGAGAGGCC
ensembl:lncRNA